CAAGGUUUCCGUAGGUGAACCUGCGGAAGGAUCAUUACCGAGUGCGGGUCUUUAUGGCCCAACCUCCCACCCGUGACUAUUGUACCUUGUUGCUUCGGCGGGCCCGCCAGCGUUGCUGGCCGCCGGGGGGCGACUCGCCCCCGGGCCCGUGCCCGCCGGAGACCCCAACAUGAACCCUGUUCUGAAAGCUUGCAGUCUGAGUGUGAUUCUUUGCAAUCAGUUAAAACUUUCAACAAUGGAUCUCUUGGUUCCGGCAUCGAUGAAGAACGCAGCGAAAUGCGAUAACUAAUGUGAAUUGCAGAAUUCAGUGAAUCAUCGAGUCUUUGAACGCACAUUGCGCCCCCUGGUAUUCCGGGGGGCAUGCCUGUCCGAGCGUCAUUGCUGCCCUCAAGCCCGGCUUGUGUGUUGGGCCCUCGUCCCCCGGCUCCCGGGGGACGGGCCCGAAAGGCAGCGGCGGCACCGCGUCCGGUCCUCGAGCGUAUGGGGCUUCGUCUUCCGCUCCGUAGGCCCGGCCGGCGCCCGCCGACGCAUUUUUUUGCAACUUGUUUUUUUCCAGGUUGACCUCGGAUCAGGUAGGGAUACCCGCUGAACUUAAGCAUAUC
rnacentral:misc_RNA from 1 species